rnacentral:rRNA from 1 species
UACGUAGGGUGCAAGCGUUGUCCGGAAUUAUUGGGCGUAAAGAGCUCGUAGGCGGUUCGUCGCGUCGGCUGUGAAAACCUGAGGCUCAACCUCAGGCCUGCAGUCGAUACGGGCGGACUUGAGUACUGCAGGGGAGACUGGAAUUCCUGGUGUAGCGGUGAAAUGCGCAGAUAUCAGGAAGAACACCCGUGGCUAAGGCGGCUCUCUAGUACGUGACUGACGCUGAGACGCGAAAGCGUGGGGAGCGAACAGG